UCGGAAUUAUUGGGCGUAAAGCGCACGUAGGCGGCCUUGUAAGUCGGAUGUGAAAUCCCUCGGCUUAACCGAGGACGUGCAUCCGAAACUGUGAGGCUCGAGUAUGGAAGAGGGUCGCAGAAUUCCCGGUGUAGAGGUGAAAUUCGUAGAUAUCGGGAGGAAUACCAGUGGCGAAGGCGGCGACCUGGGCCAAUACUGACGCUGAGGUGCGAAAGCGUGGGGAGCAAACAGG
rnacentral:rRNA from 1 species